CCAUCUCAUAUUGAAAAUUAGAAAUCAAUGAAAGCAAAUACAAACUGUCCAGCUCAGUAACAGAAUCACUUCAGCAUACAAGCAUGACUAGUUGAAAUUCAUAAACAACAUUUUCCAAUCAAAAUUAGAAAUGCUUUCGAUCCUAAAACAAACAAUUGAAAUCUCACCUAAUGCUAUGUCAGUCAUGGCAGCGUAAAUGCGAAGGAUGGCCACUCUAUUCACAGGUGCAAGCCAUUCACAAAAACCUGACGGCUGUGCACCACUAAAACUAGUCUGCUACGUCAUUAUCUAGUUAUAUACAAGCUGUGGUUCUGCCACUGCCUUUCCAGUUGUGUCCUUCCUGCUGCUUGAAGCCCCUGUGCCAAUUGAUUGUCCAUGGACUUCCUGCCCUGCCUUGUCAAUUGCAAUCUGCGCGUCGCGGCACUCGGGACU
rnacentral:lncRNA from 1 species